rnacentral:rRNA from 1 species
GAUGAGUGGCGAACGGGUGAGUAAUACAUAGGUAACCUGCCCCUGUGCGGGGGAUAACAGGAGGAAACUCCUGCUAAUACCGCAUAGCCAUGAGCACCGCAUGGAGCUCAUGCCAAAUAUCCUUUCGGGGAUAGCGCAGGGAUGGACCUAUGGCGCAUUAGCUUGUUGGCGGGGCAACGGCCCACCAAGGCAACGAUGCGUAGCCGGCCUGAGAGGGCGGACGGCCACAUUGGGACUGAGACACGGCCCAGACUCCUACGGGAGGCAGCAGUAGGGAAUUUUCGGCAAUGGGGGAAACCCUGACCGAGCAACGCCGCGUGAGCGAAGAAGGCCUUCGGGUCGUAAAGCUCUGUUGUAAAGGAAGAACGGCGCAUACAGGAAAUGGUAUGCGAGUGACGGUACUUUACCAGAAAGCCACGGCUAACUACGUGCCAGCAGCCGCGGUAAUACGUAGGUGGCGAGCGUUAUCCGGAAUCAUUGGGCGUAAAGAGGGAGCAGGCGGCCGCAAGGGUCUGUGGUGAAAGACCGAAGCUAAACUUCGGUAAGCCAUGGAAACCGGGCGGCUAGAGUGCGGAAGAGGAUCGUGGAAUUCCAUGUGUAGCGGUGAAAUGCGUAGAUAUAUGGAGGAACACCAGUGGCGAAGGCGACGGUCUGGGCCGCAACUGACGCUCAUUCCCGAAAGCGUGGGGAGCAAAUAGGAUUAGAUACCCUAGUAGUCCACGCCGUAAACGAUGGUCACUAAGUGUCGGGGGUCAAACCCCGGUGCUGCAGUCAACGCAAUAAGUGACCCGCCUG